CGUUUGUAAUUCUGAGGCUCUCUACACGGUUCACUUGGGACUGUAUGUUAAGGCUGCUGUUAACUAUAAAACAGGUUAAACUGUAUUUCAGAGUAGGCAUAAUUAAUGAGGGUGUUAUUUCAGGAACAAUGAUAGGGAUUGUGAAUAGUCAAGAUUCAUUCUAGAAUGAGCAAGAAAUUUGCUGGAAAAAAGAGGUGUAAUGAAAAAGGAAGCUUCUUUCUAUUUCUGAUGAGGAGCUUGGUAUGUCUGUAGUUUGAUUUUGUAACAAUUGUUUUCCCUGAAGUAAUUUGGAUGCUGCAUUAGUCUGAUUAUUAUGAUUUCCUGUUUAGAACCCAGAUACCUUCUCGAUAUGUCCCCAAUAGCAUAUUUCUGGAAAUGACUUCAACCAAUUACAUUAGCUCUCAUUCCCUUGGUUUCUAUGUGGUUGACCAGACAGGAAUCAGGCUGCCUGAGUGUGCAAUCCAGAUAGCAAGAGGCAGUCGGUAGAGAGAGUGUGAAAUUGCCCUGAGAUACUGUGUGGUCUGCAGGCGGGUCCAAGUGAAGGAAUGUGAUGCAGCUGAGGCCUCGGGGGUGGGGCCGGGGGGCAUAUUUUUGAUGUCUGAAAUAUCUUGACCAACUGGCCUUUCAGGGAUAAUUUUGAUGACCAUGUUUCAUCUGGUGCCGAGUCUACUUCUGGUGCUUGACUCAUGAAGGUAUCAGUGAUGACAAGGAUAAUGAAAUUUAUCUUCAAACCUACUCCCCUUAAAUGUAGUAGAUGUAAGCACUGGGACAAAUCUGAAAAGAGUCUUCAGCAUCUCCUUAAGGUUACUACUAUUAUGGAUAAUAGUGCUGUAUCAUUUACAAAACCAUAGCCAUAUUGUGCAGCAGGUAUUAUUAUUCCUGUUUUACAGAUGUGUAAACUGAGGCACAGAGAGGUUCAGGGAUAUACUAAUGUUGCCUACCGAGUGAGCAGUGGAGGUGGGAUUUGACCCCAGUUGCCUGAAUCCAAAUCAUCCCGUUCCCAUCUUCUCCCCUAAUGAUGUCAUGCCCCAUGCUGCAUCGGUGGAGGGGUUUUAUGGGAGAGUGACAGGAGCCUUCAGCUCCUUCUGUGGUACCCCUUGCACUCUGUGAAUCCACCAAGGGAGGAGAACACUCCAAGACUGCCCCAAAGGGGUAUGUGCCCUCGCCUGCGCAGAUGCUGGCUGUCAGAGGACUGAGGAAUUUCCCCAGGGGGAGAUUUUCCCAACCACUACAUUAACCUGUUCAAAGAUCCUGUCCAGCUCUGCAAGAUUAGCUGAGAUCUGAGGCAUUUAGCAUGGAAAGAACACAUUCUUCUAAAGAGUCAUUUCAGCCAUUCUACCUAUGCACAUCUGAGUUUAAAAAAGGAGAGAAAGAGGGCAAACCUACUUCAAAGUGGCCUAUUUGGCAGUUGACCAUUGGAAGGCUAAUGAUAAUGACAAAAACUGAAAACAGGAGGCACUCUCUUAUGGUGUCUUGUCCUCUAGAUAUGCAUAAGAUAUGCAAAGGCACUGUGGAACUCGAUGAAACACUCAGCCUGCAAGAGUGCAGUGGGGAACAAAAUACUCAGAAAGUAGAGACUGUUUUAUUUAUGGGAUGGGGUCUCACUUUGUUCCCCAGGCUGGAGUGCAGCGGUGCAAUCAUAGCUCACUGUAGCCUUGAACUCCUGGGCUCAAGUGAUUCUCCUACACCAGCCUCCUGAGUAGCUAGGACUACAGUGCAUACCACCAUGGCCACUAAUUUUUUAAUAAAUAUUUUGUAGAGACAGGGUCCUGCUCUAUUGUCUAGACUGGCUUCAAACUCCUGGCCUCAAGCGAUCCUCCUGCCUCAGCUUGGUUGCUGAGGCAACAGGGGCACGACACUGGUCUUGGCCAACAUUUUAAACUUUAUUUGGCAAAACCAAUUCUUUUGCUACUUCCCUACUGCACUCAGGAUGGGGACACAGGAGCUGGGAGAAAUUUCACCAAGAAAGAAGUGGUUAUGUACAGCACAGACAAUAGGCUGGCAGGUUUCAUUUCCCCCCAGUCCUAUAAAAGAAAGCAUGUAACUUGAAACCAGUUUAAUGAAGUAACUCCAGGAUUCCAGUAGCUGGUUACUCUGGGCCAGAAAGCCUGGAACCACCAAGAUUCCUAAGGAUGUGGUGGACAGGGGCUGGGCACCCACGAGGCUGCAGCAGCUGUCAGCCAUUAUCCCUAAAAUAAUGCUCUUCCAGGCCUGGGAGCACAGAGGCCUUUGAGAAGGUCAGUGAGUGCGGCUGCCAGUCACAGCUUCAGUGGCUUUGCACAGCUGGGCUCCAUUCUGGAAUCUGGAAUCCUCAGUGCAAACUGUCAGGGCUACGUGUCUGUGCUGGGCCUGCUGAGAGGCAAAAUGAGUCCUUUGGGAUUUGAAAUCUAGCAGUUUUGGAUUAGGUGAGACUAAGAGUUCUCUGGAUUUAGCUGAGUCCAAGGUGCUUAU
rnacentral:lncRNA from 1 species